UGAAUUGCAGAAUCCCGUGAACCAUCGAGUCUUUGAACGCAAGUUGCGCCUGAAGCCAUUAGGCUAAGGGCACGUCUGCCUGGGCGUCACGCAUCGCAUCACCCCUUCACCAAUUCGAAGAAUGGGGUG
rnacentral:rRNA from 2 species